rnacentral:lncRNA from 10 species
ACUUCUGACAUUUUGGAGGAAACAGACUUAGCUUCUUUGGAACUGCAUACACAGUGGAGAAGAAGACAGAAAAGGCUGUGGCCUGAUGAAGCUUACAUUCAGACAGACAACUCACAAUUCUGAUGACUGGAAAGUCCAAGAUCAUGGCACUGGCAUUUGCUCAGCAUCUGGUGAGGGCCACGUACUGUGUCAAGACAUGGUAGAGACAUGGAAAGGGGCUCUACCGAGUUGCUGGAAUAGUUGGUGUGUGUCAGAUAUUAUCGUAAGACUUGGGGAAGGUAAUCCUGGGCUUUACAAGAUGAGUGGAGAGAAAAUGGCUCUAUCUAAUUGGCCCUUACACAGAGACCAGCCCGCUUCAUAGUUCAAGAUAUAAACCUGCCACACAUAUGAAUGUAAACAGCUGUAGAUACAGAGUAUUUUACAAUUGCACGCUUUCAAGUUAUUAAAAUUUCUGGAUUUGUUUAAUUUA